GAUGGCGCAUGGUGUAUACGGAUGGUGCUUAAAGAAAAGCCGUCUGAUUAUAGUAAAGUACGAUUAUAUGCAUCAAUAAGUCACGUACUGGGUUAGGCAGGAUUUAAACCAAUAGGAUGUUUCAUGCUAGCCCAAUAUCUCUCUUAUUAAAUCUCAACCCGUUAGAUAUAAGAUCCAAUGGUCAGAAUAAUUGAGGUGAUGUGGAUCAACGUGGAGGCUCCCCUCGAUAUCCCUCAUAUUGUUAAUAACUCAUCCUACUUGAGGAAAAAUGUUGAUCACUCUAAAUGGGUUGAGCUUAUUGCUCCUUAAUAUUCUCAUGAUUCACAAUGAUAAAGAAGAAAAAAUAAAGUUGAGAGGUGGUAAUAUAUUGGUCGUCCAACGGUGUAUAUCUUUGACACCGUACAAAUAAAAUUAGAUCAUGACAAAUGAAGCUAGCUUGCUGCUUAAUAUUCUCACUUCGUGAUACAGAUUAUGACGAUGGAGCUACGCUUAUACUCCAGUACGUAAUAUUCUUAUGUUCAUGAAGAAACACGAAAAAUAACCUGAGAGGUCGUAGAGUGUUGAUUAUUGAUUCUCUAAAGGAGAUUAACGCUAACCACAACAUAUUCCGCAUAGGUGGAUCUUAGAACAAUUUGAUUCCAUGCAUCUAAGAAUGUGCCUCCAUUUUUCAGUAGAGAUGUGACAUGGCUUUUUUACAAAAAAAAUAAUCCCACAGUAACAUGUCUGGAGUAGAUUAGGUUCCGCUUUUAAGCAGUCUGCUACGUGCAUGAAAGACGUGGCAGACAUGUCUCUUCGUCAAAAAAAAAAACCGUAACAACCAUGUUUCCUCGUCAAAAAAAAAAAGAUGUGGCAGUUAUUUGCGCAUGUUAGAGGUUUCCAACGUAAUGUGUGUUUGUACCUCAACGUGUUUGAGGGGAGAACGUGAACGUUUUCCACGCAGUUUGACCUCAAAUCUAACGGUCAGAACAAUUUUGAUGAUGGAUCAACGUGGAGUCUUUUUUCGAUAUUCCUCAUAUUGCUUUUAGUAUAUAAUAAAUUUUGCGCAAGUGACAGGUAAAUGAUAGAACUCAUACAAAAUCUGACUCACACAAAGAUCAGUCUUGGUUACCAAACUACCAAAGAACUCGUAAAUGAGCAAAUGAGCAACUGAUAAAGUGUCGAAUAUCAAACGUGUGGAAUAACCACAAAUCAUGUAAUGUUCACGAGCCAAAGAGAAAAAAAAAAUCAAAUGAUGUUCUUGUUCACCAAUAUCUUACCCUUUCCUCUUCUUUAUUUCUCAGAUGUGAACACACAAGUACAUAACGUUUGGAGAAGAGGUAAGUUCACAUUACCUCUAAACUUAUACUCCCUCCGAGCGGUAUUAUUUGUCUCAAAUUUGCCC
rnacentral:lncRNA from 1 species